GAAGAUCUUCUAAGGUGCUCCCAACCCCCACUCCCAAUGCAUACACUCUUGAAAUGRGUUAAGGCUCGGCAGCCUGAGAAGACAGCCAUUCGUGGGUGUAAUUUAACCACUGCUAAAGGAAGGAGCUGUGAUAUGAACUUGGAUGUGUGGAUUACCUGUCUGGGUGUGGACCCUAUGAGUAGYGUCUGGUGGCUCCCGCUGGGAGCCUGCCCUGUUAUCUUCCUCUGUGUGCUCACCGGCUCCUGCCUGCUCAGAACUCUCUUCAUGGCUUUGGUAUUAUGCUCAGGAACUUUUAGGAUUACAAGACCCUUGAUUACUGGUGCACAGAGGUAUCAUCAUGAGUGAUCCACUGUGGAGGAUAGCUAAACACAUCAACUUCCAAAAUAUUGAGAUUCAAGGGGAUGUUCAAAGAAGUUUCCAUAGCCUGGUGCGGUGGUGCACAUCUAUAAUCCCAGUGGCUCCAGAGGCUGAGGCAGAAGGAUCACAAAUUCAAAGCCAGCUUCA